rnacentral:lncRNA from 1 species
UAUCCUCCAUGAUAAUGCCAUCUUCCUUAUGGCUGAUGUCUGCAAUCUGCUCACAAGAUGGGAUUGUGAAGUGCUGUACCAUCUAUCAUAUUCUAGAUCUUAUUCCCUAUGACUUUGAUUUAUUUCUUAAAUUCAAGGAACUUCUAGGAGGUAUUUGUUUCCAGACAGUUCCUGACAUUAUUCCUAUAGUCACCACUCCAUCCAUUACAUUGACACAUGCGGGGCUGUUGACGGCAUUAUGAAGCUACCAUAAUGAUAGAAAAAGGUCACAGACAGUGCUGGAGGCUAUACUGAGGAACUGUAAAAGUGAAUCUCUGCUAUGCCUUUCUUGUGCUAAUCUGUACUAUUGUGAUCACUAUUAAAUUUCCAAACCUUAUAGUUUCAGUGGGUGAUGUAUCAUAAAAUCACUCUAAACCAG